GUGGAUUAGAUACCCUGGUAGUCCACGCCCUAAACGAUGAUGACUAGUUGUUGGAGGAGUUAAAUCCUUUAGUAACGCAGCUAACGCGUGAAGUCAUCCGCCUGGGGAGUACGGUCGCAAGAUUAAAACUCAAAGGAAUUGACGGGGGCCCGCACAAGCGGUGGAUGAUGUGGUUUAAUUCGAUGCAACGCGAAAAACCUUACCUACCCUUGACAUGCCAGGAACGCUGCAGAAAUGCAGCGGUGCCCGAAAGGGAACCUGGACACAGGUGCUGCACGGCCGUCGACAACU
rnacentral:rRNA from 1 species